UCAUGUUGGUCUUAUUCUUGCGCAGCCCCCAGAGCCGGGCCACCUCCUCAGCAUCCACCAGCUUGAACUCACCGCCAUCCCGGGAGGUCCAGGAGAUGAUGUGGCCAUUGCCUUGCUCUCUCAACAGCUGCAGCAGAAACUGCCACAGCGUCACAGAAGGGUCCAUUGCUGGGGGAGCGCUCACGCCAUCCCAGGGGUACCUGGAGAGCAGAAAGCUCAGAGCUGAGAGGUUGCAGACACAGGAAGGGGAAGAGGUCAGCAGGAGGAGGAUUCCUUUCUUGCCAUCUUGCCUUCACCUCUGUCCCCAGCUGCCACCACCAUUCCCUGAACGCCCUCAGCCUGGCUUUGGAUGACUCCUGUAAUGCGAUGAGACUUCUGGGGAUGCUAGGAUAGCGUCAAUGUCUUCUGCGUGUGGGACAGAUGUGAACCUCUGGGGGCCAGAGGGCAGACUGUGACACGCAGAAUAAUGCCCCUCACCCAAAGAUGUCCGCAUCCUAAUUUCUGGAACCUGUGAGUAUAUUAUGUUACCUGGCAAAAAGAACGUUGCAGAUCCUACAACCUCAAGGAAUUGAAUUCUGCCAGCAACCUAAACGAACAGGAAAUGGAUCAUCCCCUGGAGCUUCUGGAAAGGAAUACAGCCCUGCCGACACCUGGAUUUUAGCCUGGUGAGACCUGUGCUGGCCUUCGGACCUCCAGAACUCUAAGAGAAUAAUUUGUGUUUUAAGCAGUUAAAAGUUUGUUAUAAUUCGUUACAGCACGAAUAGAAAACUAGAAUAAGGCCCCUCACCUGAACAUUUUCAUUUGCAUCUUCUACCACAUCAAAUAUUAAGUUUUCCAGGAGGUUCCUUCUGCCAGCUCCUCGCAAAGGCUGUUCACUUCAUGCUGGGUUCCCUUCCUCUGCCUAGAAGUCUUCUCCAUCGUUCAGUUCCCAGCCCCAAGGGCCUUGCCUUUAUGAAAAUUCCUAACACUGAAUGUCUGCUCUCUUCUGUCUCUCUACCCCACGCUCCUCUGACCCAUCUCUGUCCCUCUGUGUUCUCCUUCUUGACAACAGCAAUAAUGAACAUUUAUUGAGUGCUAAAUACAUGCCAGGCAUUGUACCAAUCAGAGGCAAUAUGGCCUACUGGACAAUCAGCCUCUCCAGAGCCAGACCACCAGGGCUGGAAUCCUGGUUCUGCUACUUAUUAGCAGUGUGACACUGGGCAUGUUCUUUAACCUCCUGUGCCUCAAUUUUCCCAUCUGUAAAAUAGGGAUAAUAGUAAUACCACCUAGCUCAUAGGGUUAUCGUACAGAUUAAAUAUACUAUGCCUGGGGUAUGAUAAGCUCUUAUGAAAUAUUAGUUUCUAAUUUGUUCAUAAUUCCUUAUCUGCUAUGCCAAAACCUGAUCUGAAACAAAAUAAGGCCUUUUGUGGUCUUCACUGAUCCUCACUUGGUGUGACUGUUCAUACAUCUUGCUGCAGAAAUCUGAAUGUGGCUGAUUACAGAGCCCACUAAGGGUGUUAUGUAACAUCUUGUAUGUAUACCUUGUCACCUUUCUAAAAUCUGAAAAAUUCAAAAUUGUGAAACACAUCUGGCCCCAAGGGUUUUAGAUAAGGGCAUGUAGACCUGGAUUGCUAUUUCUAUAGCUAUUGACUCAUUUCUCUCUCAUCACAACUUUGGGAAAUAGGUACUCUUAUUAUCUCUAAUUUACAGAUGAGGAAGCAGAGGCACAAAAUGUCUAAAUGACAUGUACAGGCCACACAGCCCUAAGUGGCAGAGCCAGGAUUUGGACGCAGGCAGCCAAGUUCCAGGUGUCUGAUCUUUUCAACCAUUAGACUAAACUGCCCCUUGCACUGACUGCUCCCUCAGCAUGUCGAGCAGAGAACAGGACCCUCCUGGCCCCGCCCCCCCCCACCCCAUAACUGCUCCCUUUGCUGAGUGUGAAUUGGAAAUAAACAUGAGGUUCCUUUUCCUUAAGGAAUGAGCUUUCAUCAAUCAACUGUUCACCCAGCUGGGACUGUUGGGUUAAGAAUAAGACCUUCCAAAUCGGAAGGUUUCAAAGAACCUCCCUCUAUUAUUUAUAGCUUGAGUCUUUAAUCUGUAAUGAAAUACAGUCUGAUCCUCUUA